GGGCGCUUAGCUCAGGGGGAGAGCACUUCCUUGACGCGGAAGGGGCCAGAGGUUCAAAUCCUCUAGCGCCCA
rnacentral:tRNA from 2 species